ACUGCCAUAGUGACUUACAAGCAACUCACUACACUUAGGCACUGGACUACCUGAAUUUCUAAUUCAGUGAUGGAAGGUUGCUGGGUGUAGUCAAGUACUUGACUUGUCGGUGUGUGUCAAGAUGGGAUUGACCACUCUAGUUCAGGAGCUGUGUACAGUCAUCUUUCAAUUUAGCAAAAUCUUGGCCAGGGUAGUCCUAGUGAGGAGUCA
rnacentral:lncRNA from 1 species